GACGGGACCGCACAAGCGGUGGAUGAUGUGGUUUAAUUCGAUGCAACGCGAAAACCUUACCCACCUUUGACAUGUACGGAACCCUUUAGAGAUAGAGGGGUGCUCGAAAGAGAGCCGUAACACAGGUGCUGCAUGGCUGUCGUCAGCUCGUGUCGUGAGAUGUUGGUUAGGUCCCGCAACGAGCGCAACCCUUGUCAUUAGUUGCUACAUUCAGUUGGGCACUCUAAUGAGACUGCCGGUGACAAGCCGGAGGAAGGUGGGGAUGACGUCAAGUCCUCAUGGCCCUUAUAGGUGGGGCUACACACGUCAUACAAUGGCUGGUACAAAGGGUUGCCAACCCGCGAGGGGGGAGGCCAAUCCCAUAAAGCCAGUCGUAGUCCGGAUCGUAGUCUGCAACUCGACUACGUGAAGUCGGAAUCGCUAGUAAUCGUGGAUCAGAAUGUCACGGUGAAUACGUUCCCGGGUCUU
rnacentral:rRNA from 1 species